rnacentral:rRNA from 1 species
AUGGCGCCGUCCCCGAGCACUUGCGCCCCCGACGGCGGCCUGGAUCCCAUGGACGUGUGCACCGUCGGCGUCGCCAGCACGCCCAUCGACGCCUUGCUUGGCUGCCUCUCGUCCCUCCCCGCCACCAAGCUCGGCUCCGUCGCCAUCCAGGUACCGCUGAUUCGAAAGCAACAUCUCGAACUACUGAUGGAGUGA